AGUAGGACGCACAGUUUAUACCGUAGCUUGCUACACCAUAGACUGUGAGUUGCGAACGGGUGAGUAACGCGUAGGUAACCUGCCUAUUAGAGGGGGAUAACUAUUGGAAACGAUAGCUAAUACCGCAUAACAGUAUGUAACACAUGUUAGAUGCUUGAAAGAUGCAAUUGCAUCGCUAGUAGAUGGACCUGCGUUGUAUUAGCUAGUAGGUAGGGUAAAGGCCUACCUAGGCAACGAUACAUAGCCGACCUGAGAGGGUGAUCGGCCACACUGGGACUGAGACACGGCCCAGACUCCUACGGGAGGCAGCAGUAGGGAAUCUUCGGCAAUGGGGGGAACCCUGACCGAGCAACGCCGCGUGAGUGAAGAAGGUUUUCGGAUCGUAAAGCUCUGUUGUUAAGGAAGAACGAGUGUGAGAAUGGAAAGUUCAUGCUGUGACGGUACUUAACCAGAAAGGGACGGCUAACUACGUGCCAGCAGCCGCGGUAAUACGUAGGUCCCGAGCGUUGUCCGGAUUUAUUGGGCGUAAAGCGAGCGCAGCGGUUAGAAAAGUCUGAAGUGAAAGGCAGUGGCUCAACCAUUGUAGCUUUGGAAACUGUUUAACUUGAGUGCAGAAGGGGAGAG
rnacentral:rRNA from 1 species